rnacentral:lncRNA from 1 species
UGCCUCUGCCUCCUGAAGUACUGGGAUUACAGGUGUGCGCCACUGCGCCCGGCCCCUAAAGUGCUGGGAUUACAGGUGUGCGCCACCGCGCCCGGCCCCCAAAGUGCUAGGAUUACAGGUGUGAGCCAGCGCGCCCGGCCCCUGAAGUCCUGGGAUUACAGGUGUGAGCCAGCGCGCCCAGCCCCGGAAGUGCUGGGAUUACAGGUGUGAGCCAGCGCGCCCAGCUGCCCACACUUUUUUGUAUACUCCCCAGCUGGGUUUGGUCAUUGGCAGGCAGAGUCAUGAAGCUGCCUGUGCUGGGACAGGGCCCAUGGCGCACCUGAGCCACUGGCGGCUGGGACCCAGGCCCGG